GACGAAGGGGGCUAGCGGUGUUCGGAAUUAAUGGGCGUAAAGCGAGUGUAGGUGGUUGUCCAAGUUGGAUGUGAAAGCCUUGAGCUCAACUCAAGAAAUGCAUUCAGGACUGGAUGGCUAGAGGACCGGAGAGGAUAGUGGAAUUCCCAGUGUAGUGGUGAAAUACGUAGAGAUUGGGAAGAACACCAGUGGCGAAGGCGGCUAUCUGGACGGUUUCUGACACUAAGACUCGAAAGCGUGGGGAGCAAACAGG
rnacentral:rRNA from 1 species